GGGGGUGUACUGGUUUUCGACGGGAUGUGAGAGCCACAAACAGCAUGUCGAGGAUGCCGGUUGGCCUCGUUAAUCAUCCGGCAAAACAAUAACUGCCGAAGAUUAUUCUUACGCAGUCGCAGCUUAAUUAAAAGCUGCAAACUCGAUAGCUGGCCGCGCCUGCCGGCGAUCGGGUCAAAUCAGGGCGCUGGGCACCCGGGAUGUACCGACCGGGUGCCGAGAUUCACCGGUACUGGCCGGACGGUAAGCCUGUCUACCGGCGUACGGUCCGGCGAGAUCAAUAGGUAGGCUAAGCAUGUAGCGGUUUGUGCCGAUUGCAUUUCGGACAGGGGUUCGACUCCCCUCACCUCCAGAC
rnacentral:tmRNA from 1 species